UACAGAGGGUGCAAGCGUUAUUCGGAAUCAUUGGGCGUAAAGGGCGCGUAGGCGGCCAUGCAAGUCGAAUGUGAAAGCCCAGGGCUCAACCUUGGAAGUGCAUCCGAAACUGCACGGCUAGAAUCUCGGAGAGGGUGGUGGAAUUCCCAGUGUAGAGGUGAAAUUCGUAGAUAUUGGGAGGAACACCGGUGGCGAAGGCGACCACCUGGACGAAGAUUGACGCUGAGGCGCGAAAGCGUGGGGAGCAAACAGG
rnacentral:rRNA from 1 species